UUCUGCGAGGAUUGACAGAGUGAGAGCUGUUUCUUGUUUCGGUGAAUAGUGGCGCAUGUCCGUUCUUAGUCGGUGGAGCGAUUUUUCUGGUUAAUUCCGAUAACGAACAAGACUCUAUAGUAGGUUACAAGUCAAGAAGGUAUCAAGUGCCCCUCAAAGGGAAUCUUAUAUCCCGCCGCCACCUCCGCAUCCAUAGCGUCCCAUCGUUUCCGUAACGUCGCGACCAACGCGCAGGAGGGUCUUGCCUUUCAGUACAUAUUUGCUUUAUUUUUCGACUUUGACUUGGCAUUUUGGAAGCCGUGAGAGGGAGAUAGAGUUUUAGAGCGCAGCUCUUAG
rnacentral:rRNA from 1 species